rnacentral:sRNA from 1 species
AGCAAUAGAAUAGGUGUCUCAAGGGUGGUCAGCUCAUCCCCGAUCAGAAAGGGGGUGGUGCUGCAUGACAGUGUUUGAAGCUUUGACGUUUGCUUGUACGUUUACAAGCUUGAUUCUCGCUGUACUGUCGUUUAACCACAAAAAAUAAUCCACCCUUGAGCCUGCAAGCAUAAGGUGGAUUAUUCCUACUUUAUUGCUGACGCCCUUGUAAGGGACCGUCUAUUGCAUCGACCGUUUUGGUGUUACCAGCACCAGACG